ACACACAUCCACUGAGACGGAGCACAGGGGCACGAUGGCACCUCGUCAACUUGGCCAGGAAAAAAGGUGGUGGUUUGGGGAGGAUACGAAAGAACCAGGCAUUUUCCUUUUUGUUAGAAACUCCCAACGAAAGGAAAAAGAUGGGAGAUGUGAUCGGGGAUCACGCUUGGUCAGGAAAGGCAGAGGAACAUCAAAAGGGAUGUCAUGGCCUGUAUCAAGGAUCAAAUCGAUAUCCCCACAACAGCAACCGGAGCCAUCAACUUCAUCCAGACUGUCCCAAGACAAUAGUCUAUUGAUUGAAUUUUCGGAUUCAAAGGAUGUCACUCUUAAAACAUCUCUUGAUCAGUUUGAUUAGAACCAGAGCGAGAUAAGCAAUGAAAUGCGAGACUUUGUAGACUCAUCCAAUGACUUCUGUGCUGCAUUCAAACAGUUGAAGGCACACCAAACAAAACCAGUGGGACCGGAAGAACAAGAGUAAAGGAGAAGUUUGUGGGCCAUCUGUGCAUCAAUGUUGGCGCGUUGAUCAAUGGGAUAGAUGCAUCCAGGAACAUCCGUCCCAUUGAUCAACAGUGGAAAGCAACACUAAAAAGGAGAAUUCUUAAUGGAGAAUUUAAAGAUGACAAUCAACCAUUACUUCUGUGUGUAAAGGAUGUUACUAAGGAGGAUUUUAAUGAGAACAAGCCUAUCGGCGUCUGAUUCACAAUGUGGUUUGUGAGGAGUGUCAUAGUCGUCAACAGUGUAGCUUACGUAUUUCGAAGACCAGUGGAAUUGGCGGCGUCAAAUUAUUAGUGAAAUUUAUAAUUUACAAAUUACAAAUUACAAAUCGUUUAUUGAAACCGUGUAAAAAGUUACAUUUUACAUAAGAUGAAAGUACAAUGACCAUAAGCAUGAUGAACUAAAUAACUGGUGUGACAUUGUUGUGGAUUUGGUGGUGUGCAGCUGGAGGAGUGGACAAUGUCACAACCAGGGUUCCUACAUUAUGUACAGUGGAACCUCCGUUAGUAGACACCUCUCUAUUAAAGACAACCUUUCCAAUAAGGACACUGGUUUUGGUCCCAAAUUGGUUGUUUCCAUUCAAUUUUGACUUCUCUAAUCAGUCUUUGGGUGUUCCGAAUGCUUGACACAUUUCGAACAUGUUUUGGUUGGAAACAACCCUACAGUCUUACACUUAUGGCUGAAUGAAUGACAGUGCAUUUUCGUGUAAGCUCGGUGACGAAAUGCUGCGACACUAUUCGUCACCAACAUGCUAGGUGUCCACAUCGAGGAGUAGAUGAUGUCACUACAUGUACCAGGGUUUGUACUUUCAUAUACAGUGGGCCUACUUUUUGUGGACACCUUUCUAUUGAGGACAACCUCUUUAAUAAGGACAGUAGUUUUUGGUUCCAAAUUGGUUGUUUCCAUUCAACUCGACUUCUCAGUUUAGGACACCUCUCUGUUAAAACAGCACUUUUCAGUCCCUGGCGCAUUUCUGGAAAUUUCAUGCUAUAGAGCAAUUGGUUCAGCUAAGUGACAAGAACAGUACUAUAAGACGGUUUUAAAAAGUUGAAAAUUAUUUAUUUAAAUGACAUAUGAAUGGUUCAGCAGUAAUUGGCAGUGUGCAUUAUGUAAUGAAAUAUGAUUUACAUAAUAUAACAUUUUUGUGACAAAUAGUACAGAUGAUGGAUAAAUCGAUA